GGAUACUGAAACUUGUUAAUGCGAAGAAGAUCGAGAGAAAACUUUGGACAUUGACUGAUUUUCUUUCCCUGUCCCUCACUUUUCCUCCUUUUCCUUUUUGAAGAGUUGUGCUGAGUGUUAAGGAUAUGUGAGCUUUGUGGACAAAACUUUGGCAUGUACUGAUAUCCUGUAUUUUUCUAUUGCAGUCUGAGGAACGAAUGAGGAAAGAGAUGGAAAGAUUUGAUCAUGAAAGAAGGAAGGAAGAAGAAAGGUUGAUGCGUGAACAGCAGAGAGAGGAGGAGAGAUUGCUACGUGAGCAAAGGCGAGAAUCAGAGCGACAGGAGUAGUAUUUGUAGAAAGAAUCUAAGGCGGAGAAAAAGAGACAAAAAGAAGAGCUUCGUCGA